rnacentral:rRNA from 1 species
UGAGGAAUAUUGGUCAAUGGGCGAGAGCCUGAACCAGCCAAAUCGCGUGAAGGAAGACUGCCUUAUGGGUUGUAAACUUCUUUUUAUACAGGAAUAAAAAAGGGGACGUGCUCCCUUAUUGCAUGUACUGUAUGAAUAAGCAUCGGCUAACUCCGUGCCAGCAGCCGCGGUAAUACGGAGGAUGCGAGCGUUAUCCGGAUUUAUUGGGUUUAAAGGGUGCGCAGGCGGGCUUUUAAGUCAGCGGUGAAAUCUCGGGGCUUAACUCCGAAACUGCCGUUGAAACUGGGAGUCUUGAGUAUGGAUGAAGUAGGCGGAAUUCGUUGUGUAGCGGUGACAUGCUUAGAUAUAACGAGGCAACUCCGAUUGCGUAGGCAGCUUACUAAGCCAUAACUGACGCUCAAGCACGAAAGCGUGGGGGAUCAAAACAGGAUUAGAUACCCCUGGGUAGUCCACGCCGUAAACGAUGAUUACUAGUUGUAUGCGAUAUACCGUAUGUGACUAAGCG